CAGCAGCCGCGGUAAUAUGGAGGAAGCGAGCGUUAUCCGGAUUUAUUGGGUUUAAAGGGUGCGUAGGCGGGACGUCAAGUCAGCRGGGUGAAAUACUGUGGCUCAACCAUAGCAUUGCCGUUGAAACUGGCGACCUUGAGUGCGGCAGAGGUAGGCGGAAUGUGUGGUGUAGCGGUGAAAUGCUUAGAUAUCACACAGAACACCGAUUGCGAAGGCAGCUUACUGGAGCGCAACUGACGCUGAGGCACGAAAGCGUGGGUAUCGAACAGGAUUAGAUACCCUGGUAGUCCACGCUGUAAACGAUGAUGACUAGCUGUUGGCGAUACAAUGUCAGCGGCACAGCGAAAGCGUUAUGUCAUCCACCUGGGGAGUACGCCGGCAACGGUGAAACUCAAAUGAAUUGACGG
rnacentral:rRNA from 1 species